UUCUUUCAUUAACAAAAGUUCAUCUAAAAUUUCAAAACAACAACUAAAUUAGUGUCUUUCUAUUUUUAAAGUUUUAUCUCUAAACAUAUUAGUAGUUUAAUCUUUUAAAAAUUAGAAAACCAGAUAAGUUAAAAGUAUAUUUUAAAUACAAAAAAAAAACUUAAACAAUGAAUAAUUUUUUUUAUUUUUUUUCAAACUUUAAAUAUCUGAACCUGACCCAAAAUAUCCUAACCCGAAUAUAAAAUACCCGAACCCGAUCUGAAGUGUAGAAAUACCCUAACGGGUUCUAUACCUUUAUACUGAAAUAGCCGAAAUUUCUAAAUACCCGAUACGAACCCAAACAGGUAUCUGAACGCCCACCCCUCUCA
rnacentral:lncRNA from 1 species